rnacentral:rRNA from 1 species
AUUGAACGCUGGCGGCAGGCUUAACACGUGCAAGUCGAGCGGAGAUGAGGUGCUUGCACCUUAUCUUAGCGGCGGACGGGUGAGUAAUGCUUAGGAAUCUGCCUAUUAGUGGGGGACAACAUUCCGAAAGGAAUGCUAAUACCGCAUACGUCCUACGGGAGAAAGCAGGGGAUCUUCGGACCUUGCGCUAAUAGAUGAGCCUAAGUCGGAUUAGCUAGUUGGUGGGGUAAAGGCCUACCAAGGCGACGAUCUGUAGCGGGUCUGAGAGGAGGAUACGCCACACUGGGACUGAGACACGGCCCAGACUCCUACAGGAGGCAGCAGUGGGGAAUAGUGGACAAUGGGGGGAACGCUGAUCCAGCCAUGCCGCUUGUGUGAAGAAGGCCUUAUGGUUGUAAAGCACUUUAAGCGAGGAGGGGGCUACUGAGACUAAUACUCUUGGAUAGUGGACGUUACUCGCAGAGUAAGCACCGGCUAACUCUGUGCCAGCAGCCGCCGUAAAAC